GGCAAAACGACACGGGAGCAGGUCAG
rnacentral:piRNA from 1 species